UACGUAGGGGGCAAGCGUUGUCCGGAUUUAUUGGGCGUAAAGAGCGUGUAGGCGGUCAGGUAGGUCCGUUGUGAAAACUCGAGGCUCAACCUCGAGACGCCGAUGGAAACCAUCUGACUAGAGUCCGGAAGAGGAGAGCGGAAUUCCUGGUGUAGCGGUGAAAUGCGUAGAUAUCAGGAGGAACACCUGUGGUGUAGACGGCUUUCUGGACCAUAGCUGACGCUGAGACACGAAAGCGUGGGUAGCAAACAGG
rnacentral:rRNA from 1 species